rnacentral:rRNA from 1 species
GUGUCAGCCGCCGCGGUAAUACGGAGGGUGCGAGCGUUGUUCGGAAUUACUGGGCGUAAAGCGCGUGCAGGCGGCCGACUAAGUCAGGUGUGAAAGCCCGGGGCUCACCUCCGGAAGUGCGCUUGAAACUGGUCGGCUAGAGUACGGGAGAGGGAAGCGGAAUUCCUGGUGUAGCGGUGAAAUGCGUAGAUAUCAGGAGGAACACCGGCGGCGAAGGCGGCUUCCUGGACCGAUACUGACGCUGAGACGCGAAAGCGUGGGGAGCAAACAGGAUUAGAAACCCCUGUAGUCC